UUCUUUAAGAGUCUUAUUUAAAGUAAAACCUGCUCAAUGUUAAAAUAAAUAGCCGCAGUAUCACUGUGCUAAGGUAGCAUAAUCACUUACUUCCUAAAUAGAAGAGAGUAUGAAAGGACCAACGAUUUAAAACUGUUUCCAUUUAUAAAAUUAACUUAAUAUUUACGUAAAAAAGCAUAAAUAAUACAACAAGACGACAAGACCCUGAUAAACUUACCAUUUAGUUGGGGCGACAAAAUAAAAAUACCUCAUUUCAAACAAACACCCAACCUACAUAAAAAAUUAAGAAAAGUUACUACAGGGAUAACAGCGUUAUAUUUCCUUAGAGCUCUAAUCAAAAGAAAAGUUUACGACCUCGAUGUUGAAUUAAUUUAUCUCAAUGGGGCAAAACCUAUUAAAGAAAGUCUGUUCGACUUAUAAUAAAUU
rnacentral:rRNA from 1 species